UACGGCCGCAUCACGUUGAAACACCCGUUCACGUACGAUCACCGAAGUUAAACAAUGGCGAGCCUGGUCAGCAACUAGAUGGGUGACCGCUUGUGAAUACCAGGU